AUGCUAAUGGGUAGAAAUAUUUUAUAUUAUAGAUCAAGAAUCCAAAGAAGAACGAGGAAAAGAAAAAGUAAAGGACUAAAGUGUAAGGUUUAGUCACAUUUUGUAUCAAGUACUUAUCUAGUCACUCGGGGAUCGAAGGAAAUGUCGGAGGCCGAUCACACUAUCAAAGAAAUAACUCGGUAUAACUAGUCGUUUUGUUUUGGGUAUGGCAUGUAUAGAAACUUAGCUACUUUUGGUAUAAUAUGAAUAAUGAAUGAUGUGUAAAUACUUGCUAGUGAUUAGCUAAGAAAAUAGCUGAUGAUAUACAUGUUUAUUAAUAUGUAUGAUUGAAUGAUGAUUAUCACAUGAAAAUUAUGAAAAA